rnacentral:lncRNA from 1 species
GUUCAAAUAUAAACGAAAAAGUAUGCAGGAAAUACAGCGGAGGUUAUUUUUUACACUGUCCAUAUAUAUAUAGGACCACCCCUGGGACAACGUAAUGGGACUGUCUAAUUUGCAUCUGCACUUGCUAAUCAUUGCAUUCUUUAUCAGCAGUGUUGACAACACGCAUUUAUAGCAUGCCUCAUGGAAAACAAUUCACAGAAGAAGAAGUUCGAGAAGUCUGGUACCUGCAUGGUGCAGGAUGAUCACAACGGAAAAUUGCUGCAAAAAUUGAAUGAUCCAAGCAUGCAGUUCAACUCCUGAUUAAACGUGGGAUAUCUGGAAUAAUAAAACGUCCUGGACAAAAACAAAGCCUCUCUGCAAACGCCAAAUCAUCCACAUGGCGGUCUCACACAAGAUGUCUGCAGCCGCUAUAGCAAUGCACCUUCCAUCAGCACCAUCACAUCAAACUGUGUCUCGACUGCUACACAAUACCUCAAGCAUAAAAUACAUAAAGAUGAAGGUGAAACCAUGUUUAACAAAAUGCCAUAAGCAACAAUGCAUGGAUGCUAUAGAAGAGUGGCUGGCACUAUACAUCCGAUGGGAC